rnacentral:rRNA from 1 species
AGAGUUUGAUCCUGGCUCAGGAUGAACGCUGGCGGCGUGCCUAACACAUGCAAGUCGAGCGAUUACUUCGGUAAAGAGCGGCGGACGGGUGAGUAACGCGUGGGUAACCUGCCUCAUACACAUGGAUAACAUACCGAAAGGUAUGCUAAUACAGGAUAAUAUAAGAGAUUCACAUGGAUUUUUUAUCAAAGCUCCGGCGGUAUGAGAUGGACCCGCGUCUGAUUAGCUAGUUGGUAAGGUAAUGGCUUACCAAGGCGACGAUCAGUAGCCGACCUGAGAGGGUGAUCGGCCACAUUGGAACUGAGACACGGUCCAAACUCCUACGGGAGGCAGCAGUGGGGAAUAUUGCACAAUGGGCGAAAGCCUGAUGCAGCAACGCCGCGUGAGUGAUGAAGGCCUUCGGGUCGUAAAACUCUGUCCUCAAGGAAGAUAAUGACGGUACUUGAGGAGGAAGCCCCGGCUAACUACGUGCCAGCCGCCGC